AACGAACGCUGGCGGCAGGCUUAACACAUGCAAGUCGAACGCUCGUAGCAAUACGGGAGUGGCAGACGGGUGAGUAACGCGUGGGAACAUACCCUUUGGUUCGGAAUAACUGAGAGAAAUUUCAGCUAAUACCGGAUGUGCCCUUCGGGGGAAAGAUUUAUCGCCAAAGGAUUGGCCCGCGUCUGAUUAGCUAGUUGGUGAGGUAACGGCCCACCAAGGCGACGAUCAGUAGCUGGUCUGAGAGGAUGAUCAGCCACACUGGGACUGAGACACGGCCCAGACUCCUACGGGAGGCAGCAGUGGGGAAUAUUGGACAAUGGGGGCAACCCUGAUCCAGCCAUGCCGCGUGAGUGAUGAAGGCCUUAGGGUUGUAAAGCUCUUUCGUCAGGGAAGAUAAUGACGGUACCUGAAGAAGAAGCCCCGGCUAACUUCGUG
rnacentral:rRNA from 2 species